rnacentral:lncRNA from 1 species
UUUUUUUUUAUAUUUUAUUAUGUCCUUGUUUUAUAUUUUUGUCGUUAGUUUUAAGGGUGGAUACUUAUAUGUCUUUGAUGUAUUGUUAUUCUUUUUAAUUAAUUCGAGCAAAACAAGUUAAAAUGGCCAAUGAAAAAAUCUCUCCGUCGGUUUUAGAGGCCUUUUCAUUUUAAAAGACGGAAUUUUAAUUUAAGUUUAUAUAUUUUAUUUGUAAAAAAUGGCCAAUGAGAAAAUUUCUCCAUCAAUUUUGGAAGCCUCCACAUUGUAAAAGAUGGAAAUUUAGUUUAAGUUUAUAUGUACUGUCUGUUAAAAUUGGCCGAUGAAGAAAUUAUCGUCGAUUUCUAAGGCCUCUCAUUUUAAUAAAACGAAUAUUUAUUUUUAAGUUAUUGUUUAAUUCAUUUACUUUUAGUCAUAUUUAUUUAGUACUAAUACUUUUACUAAGUGUUUUUACAGGUACUCCGAUGUCACUUCUCAUCGAAGUCAUUCGAAUAAAGUUCGAAUGUUAUAUUCAUUAUGAUGUAUAUUGUUGACGAUAGACAAAUAUUAGGUUGUUUCUCAUAUUACUUGUUUACUUUAUUACUUGUGUAUAUUGCAUGUUUGUUAUAUUUGUAUAAUAUUUUUUACAUCUUCCUCAAUUUGAAAAAAUGAAUUCAGUCGGGACCCACAGUUGUGGAUUUCGAAGGAUGCCUAACACCUUCCCUUCGAAAUAACUUGAACCCCUUACCUAGAAUCUAAUAGUUUCGUAGAUCACUUUAAAUGGUUUCCUA